GUCUGUCCGCAUCUGUUCCUCUUUCACUACAAACAACUCAUGACUUCCGGGUUUGCUUCAGAGCGUGAUCAUGUGACCGCGCGUGAUCUGAUCUCGCGAGAACAGCGAGCAGCGCGUGAAGGCCACACAGACCUACAUACAGACUGCAUGAUGAUGGUGAGGUUAGAAGGAGACGAUGAAGCUGCUGAUGAUGGUGAUGUCAAGGGUGAAAGUGGACAAUGAUGACCUGUGAGGUGAGCGUGAGGCUCCUGAUGACAGCUCCUGUGCUGCAGAGGUUAAUGACGAGUGGAAGCUGUGACCCCAGACCGUGACCGCUGAACCUGACCUGUGAGAGCCAGCAGGAAAACAUCGGGAGAAGCAAGAGUGACGGCUGAACAGAGCAGGAUCAACAGCAGAAUGUUAGUGACUCCAGGUGAACCGCUGCUGAUGACUGUCUGCCAUUCUGUGGUUAAUCUAUCUGACGGCCGCGACCACUGUUCACAGUGCUGCUGCUUUUUAAAGAAGCUGCAAGUGUGUGUGCAUGAAUGCAUAAGUCACUGAUGUAAAAAAAAAAAAAAAAAGUUAAA